UACGUAGGGUGCAAGCGUUAAUCGGAAUUACUGGGCGUAAAGCGUGCGCAGGCGGUUUUGUAAGUCAGAUGUGAAAUCCCCGGGCUUAACCUGGGAACUGCGUUUGAAACUACAAGGCUAGAGUAUGGCAGAGGGGGGUGGAAUUCCACGUGUAGCAGUGAAAUGCGUAGAGAUGUGGAGGAACACCGAUGGCGAAGGCAGCCCCCUGGGUUAACACUGACGCUCAGGCACGAAAGCGUGGGGAGCAAACAGG
rnacentral:rRNA from 1 species